AACAGGCACCUUCUUGAACAUCAUUGCACUUGUUAGUUCUUCAACCUGUUAGCUAUAAAUUUAGAGACUUUUCCUUAUUUUUUCACCAUUUAAAAUCUAAAAAGUCUUCCCUCUCCUCUCUAUAUUUCUCUACUCCUGCAUUUGAGUUCUAUCUUGUCAUUAUUACAAAAUAAUUUUUUGUUCAAUCUUUGCAGGAAUUAUUCAAAUACCUUUGGCAAUAACGAGGGAAUUAAAUUUCUUUAAGACACUACAAAAAAAGUGUGUGGGCUCGGAAUAAUUUUAUAUUUUUCUGUUCUAACCUUAUGUUUUCUUAUUUUUUUCUAGAUCAACACAGUUUUACGAAUAGUGUGUUCAUGAUUGGAAGAAAUUUGUUGCUGGUGGAAGAAAUUUGAUUUCGGCGAUGACAAAUUGGUUCAAGUUUAAGGGGCCAUUAGACCAUUUAGCGGUGAAAGUACAAUCUUGAAUUCUAGAGGAACCGAAAUGUAAAUUUUGUCAAAGUUUGAUUUUCAUCCUUUUUCCUUCUAUGUUUCAAAUCCAAAGUAAAAAGACUCGCUCGCAAAUCCCCAAAUACUGCAGUUUUAGCAAUGGCUUCUACCGUUUCUCUCUUGCAGCCGACUCUUACGUUUACUGGUAAGUAAUUUCAUUUAGUAGGAACCAAUUGGGGUUAAAUCCUGGUACUCUUAAUUGGGUCUGCAGACAAGUUUUUCAAAUUCUUCAGUUUUUUCUUAAAUUCUACUUUGAAGCUUGAACUGCCAUUUUGAUUUUGUUUUCUAAACAAGCUUUAGGUUCAGAAUAGUAGGGAACAAAGCUUUAGCCUAUUUAUUUAGCUAUUUUUUUGGCUCUACAAAAUUUUAAAAUGGAAGACCAUAAAGUUGAUUUUAUUGAGAUUUCCUUUUACUGUGGAGAGGAAGGGAAAAUUUCUGCUGAUACAGAAUUUUUUUAAUAUGUCCGAAAAAAAAGGAGUAUGAGAUUAAGGCAAGGACCCUUUCAAGUAUAUAUGCUACUUAAGAGGAAAAAAAAAAGAAUUGAAAGAACGGAGUUUCUAUUCUUUCAGGAUGAGCAUGAUCAGUCAAUUAAAGGCUUGGAUUCUUCUGACCUUUCGAGAAUUUUUCUAGCAAGGGUAUAUAAACCAUAGCAAUCUGUGAUUGAUGGGUUUUUAAGGAAUGAAAUUUAUAGGAAAAUUGGCGAAACCGCUUGAGCAAAAUCACACAAUGAUAUGGGUGCAUUGUUGCAGAGGGGUGAAAGGAUGAGUUUCUGGUGUUGUGUUAUUACAUGAUGUGAGGUUUGAAAAGAGAUGUGUCCAUUUGUUUCUGUGUGAUGUUAUGUGAUUCUUAUAGUGCAGAGAGGGCUAAAGAAAUGGUAAAUCUGCAGUUAUUUGGGAAUUUAUUUUAUGUAGAAUCUAUUCAAACUCAUUAGCUGAUAAGACCUGGAUUUUCUCUGUAUUUAUUCAUCUCACUGAGGGAAACUGUAUAAACUUUUCCUUCUUAAAUGUCGAGAUUAAUGUGCUUCACUCAUAAUCCUUGAGCCAUAUAGAACAAUGAAAAAGAUGUAUCACCAUAGAGGGGAAAGAUGAUAAUUUUGUUGCCUCCUGAGUUUUUUUUUUGUUGGUUCAAGUGUUAUUACAUAGCAUGAGUCUGAAAAAGGAUUUUUCUUUCUGUUACUGUACAUUGUUAGAAUGUGGUUUUUUGGGUGCAGUAAAGGCUAAAGCGUUAAAUCCUUGGUGAAUCUGCAUGUAGAAUGGCUGAAUUGCUUCCUAUAUGUUCUCUCUAGCAUUAUUAAGCCCUCCUUUCAUAUAGCAGAUUGCAAAUAAUUGAAUGAACUGUUGAAGAUGUUAUAAACUAGUGUUGUGCGAUUAGCAUAUCCAUGCGUACUUGUUAAAUUUAAGUUCUUUGCCUACAUGCCAUUUUCGUUUCCCUUGAAAUUGUAAAGUAUGAUGCUACUGCUUGUCAUUAGUGGGAAAGGCAAAGAAAUGCUAGGAGAAUUUGUAAAUGCAAAAUAUUUGACAUGGUUAUUAACCGGAGAUCAAUGCUAUGGGAGUGUUUGUCCUGAUGCACAAGGUCGGGUAAAAUUAACAAAUUAAAAGAGUUGGAUUGUGGUUCUUCAACAUUUUACUGCUUAGUGUAACCUCAGAAAGAACACCAUUCUCCUCAAACUAGGUGUAGGAUAACAUGAAAUGUUGAAGUGUAUUUACAUGAUUAGUAUCAUUUCCUGGAACGACAUAUGAACUUGUAAAACUGUUAUUGUGUCUUUGUAUUGUAACUCAUUAGUUGAAGAAGUUACAUAUGAGCAAAGUGACCUUCCUUAGACAAUUUCCCUUGCAUCCACCUCUGGAGCAUUUCCAGUGCUGCCUUAGGUUGAUCCAUUGGAACCAUGUGACCUGCAUCAUGGACCUUGAGGAAAGUUAGAGGCCCAUGGUUCUUUUGAAUUCCUUUCUCUUCACCAUCUACUGUAAAGGGUACGGAUCGGGCUGCCCCAAAGUCUUUCUGCCCGGACCAUUCCAUUGCAUGCACCCAUCUCGAGUUCCCUGUCCACACAAGGAAGAAUAUUUUAGUUCUGGAUUACAACAACUAUGCCCCAAGGCGGAUCAAGGAUUUAGUAGGAUUUAACCUUGAUGAGUUAGACCUUUAGGAUUUUUAGCAUUGAACUUAUUUUACUUUUAAAAUUAUGUGUUCAGAUCUAAUAUUUAUUGAAAUUUUAGUGAGUUAUCAACUUAUCAUAUAGAGAUCUAUGUUCUACAUUUAAUGAAUGAACCUGCAGGUUAAGAGCUAUAUCUGCUCCUGACUAUGCCUCAAUCUCAAGCAAGUUGAGGUUAAUUAUAUGAAUCCUCUCUGAAUGUCGCUCCAUUUAAGCUCAUCUCACACUGUGGUUUGGUAGUUUUAAAUAGACUGCACAUAAUAUUAGGACUCUCCCAAUUCAAGAUUGUACUAGUUUUUUGGAUCACAAAUGAAUGAAGCUUACCAAGCCAAUUGCAGAUAAGGUCAUAUUCCCCAGCGUAUACAAGUAGCUUGAUGCCAUCCUCAAGAAGUGGAGGAAUACCAGCUUCAAGAUUCCUCAUCCAAUCCAACUGCAUUGCCUGGUAAACUGUAGAACUACAUGAAACGAAAUCA
rnacentral:lncRNA from 1 species